rnacentral:rRNA from 1 species
GUGGGGAAUCUUCCGCAAUGGACGAAAGUCUGACGGAGCAACGCCGCGUGAGUGAAGAAGGUUUUCGGAUCGUAAAGCUCUUUCGUUAGGGACGAACGUGCUCUUUGUGAAUAAUGAGGAGUAAUGACGGUACCUAAAUAAGAAGCCACGGCUAACUACGUGCCAGCAGCCGCGGUAAUACGUAGGUGGCAAGCGUUGUCCGGAAUUAUUGGGCGUAAAGCGCGCGCAGGCGGGAUAUCAAGUCUGUCUUAAAAGUGCGAGGCUCAACCUCGUGAGGGGACAGAAACUGGUAUUCUUGAGUGUCGGAGAGGAAAGUGGAAUUCCAAGUGUAGCGGUGAAAUGCGUAGAGAUUUGGAAGAACACCAGUGGCGAAGGCGACUUUCUGGACGAUGUCUGACGCUGAGGCACGAAAGCUAGGGGAGCGAACGGGAUUAGAAACCCUAGUAGUCC